GGGUACCAUUGCUAGAUAGUCACUUCGAUUAGUACAGAAAUUGAUUCCUGUGCUAUCGGUUUAGGUUUGAACCUGCGGGGUCACACACAUUAGAGGUUCCUUUCUGAUCUGAUGGCUGAUUAUGAGUCUUAUCUAUCUGGGACUCUAUGAUUGAGAAUUAGGAUUCUCUAAUCAUGAGUUCCACAUAUUUUGGGUACCGAGGUCAAAAUUUUGAAUUUCAAAUUUUGAAUUUGAAAUUUGAACUCUUUGAUCAGGGUUUCAUAUCGAUGGUCUCUGAUGCCUGAUUGCCCAUCGGAUUUGGACUCAAUAUUUAUGAGAGAUUUAAUUAAUAAUUUAAUCACUAAUUAACUCAAUUUAAUUGAGUAAUUAUUUUGGAUCAAGUCCAAUUGAAUUGGAUUCAGUUUGGAUUGACCCGAUUAGGUUAAAUGUUGACCUAAUCGCUAAGGUGNN
rnacentral:lncRNA from 1 species